AGGGUGUGGUCGCAGGCUACAGAAAAAUCGCAACGAGUUUCAUGUCCUACACUCUCAAGCAAAUAGCACCUACGUAGCCGAUUCCUGAUCCCGGAAAAUAAAGCACCCACCGCUCACCGAUCACGUUUUCAGGGCUGCGUCAGAAUUUCGGACGGUGUCCGGCCCCACGCCAUGGAGCAGUUCCAAUGAAACAGUGGGGGUUGCAUGAUGAUUGGCUACGACCGUUGUUUCCCCGAAGCGUCCAUGCGCUUGGACGAGUCCACACGCAAACGACCUUUUCCCAACCGGUCAAGCGAUCGGAGUUGCUUGUCUACGUCCGAGAAUGGUCGCUGCGUCACGACAGCCGAGAUCACGAUUGUUUGCUUCUGAGCUCUCCCAGGUCUAUUGAUUGGGGUAGUUUUUCACGCCUUGGAUCAGGAUGAAGCAGCGAGCACGAGAGAGUAGUGGGUGUAUAUGUUGUUGGUGAGCCGCUUUCAACGAAGGUUGUUCUGACGGGAGUAUUGUUCAACGAGCAACGUUGAAGACCUUGCGCCGCAAUUGAUGCUCUCGCGCGGUGUGGGACCCACCAUGACUCCUGUUGUGCUAGACCCAUGACAGGGGAGCGAUUUUGUGAAGCUGGGGAGUCGGGACUCUGUGUUCUGAAGUUGUAGCUUCGUUUUGUGCUCUUGUAAAGUGUCGGAGACGCUAGAAUGCAAGAUUUGGUGCGUUUCGGAACUAUUGAGUGUGUACGGCUCUUGAUUUCGAAGCAUACAAGCACCGAAAGUUGGGUUUAAAUUUUAUCAUAGUUGACGUGAAAGAAAGAAAAGCUCAGCUGUAGUUCGAGCUUCCCAGCAACAGUAAUUCCGACGGAACUGACCAAUUGCUGUUUGAAUACAGAGCGGUAGACUGAGAUAACACUGUUAUGUAACGCCUGCGCUGUUACAAGAGCAGAAAUAAUCAAGUUCGCUGGGAGAGUAAUUUGCUUGCGAUAGCAGAUUAACAUAACAUAACCUAACAGGAAUUUGACGCAGCCAUCUCUAGCUUGGGGGUGCUUUUCUGGUGUCGUUGCUCACAGCAACACUCUCCACCAAAUUAGUAGGUUUUUGAAUAGCUGCUAGAAAAUCUUCCUGCACAGUGUUUAUCGUUUGAGAAGUAUUUACCGUGAGUGGACGCAGUGAUUUGAUACUCAUCGAAGGAAAGGAAGCUGGUCGCAGGGCAAGAUGGGCUGUGAGUGCAGGCCCCUCGGGUUUCUCAUAGGAUUACCUUUCAUGUUGGUGGCGUCGCUGCUCUCAUUAAUUGGCGUGUUGCUAUGGAUUAUCACGGUUCCACUCAUGUUCUGCUGCCCCUGCAUAAUCUGCAUCACUCUACUUGCAGAGUUUGCUGUGAGCCUCAUCAAAGCACCCUUCGAUGUCAUCACAUGGUUCACCGAGCAAAUACCAUGCUGACUGAGCAUAUAUAUAUAUAUAUAUAUAUAUCAAGCUGUAAAUACGACUUUGUCAUAGCGUGCUAAUUUUAGUGAUAUGUGCCGGCGUCAAGGUACAAUUUUCAGGAAUUUUGUGUCAUUUCGUCACUUUCAGAUGUGAAUGAGAAUAAUCUACAUGUGAAGUUGCAAGUGAAGUCAUUUGCUUUUGCAUGUUAAUGCCUAGCUACCAGGGGGAAGUAAAGCUCUCAUACUACUGUGAGGACAACGUAGCUGGAAACUGCAAAUAUACUCUUUGUUCAUAUCAUGAGGUUAUUGUUUCCAGUUUUGCAAUGCCGUCUGUGAAGCAAGACUUGCUGGACUGAAAUGUCCCAAGUGACAUAGUUUGUGGUGAUGGAUAGAAUCUGUUGCAUAAUAUUCAAGAACCCUUUUGUUUUUUCUUUA